UAGUCCACGCCGUAAACGAUGAGUGCUAAAAGUGGGUUGUUUUAUAUCUGCUUUGUAGUUAACACGUUAAGCACUCCGCCUGGGGACUACGGUCGCAAGACUAAAACUCAAAGGAAUUGACGGGGAUCCGCGCAAGCGGUGGAGUAUGUGGUUUAAUUCGAUGCAACGCGAAAAACCUUACCACACCUUGACAUGCAAAUUAUACCUCUUUGAAGGAAGAGGGUCAGUUCGGCUGGAUUUGACACAGGUGUUGCAUGGCUGUCGUCAGCUCGUGCCGUGAGGUGUUGGGUUAAGUCCCGCAACGAGCGCAACCCCCAUCCUUAGUUGCCAGCGGUUCGGCCGGGAACUUUAAGGAAACUGCCAGUGACAAACUGGAGGAAGGUGGGGAUGACGUCAAGUCAUCAUGGCCCAUAUGGUGUGGGCUACACACGUACUACAAUGGUGGUCACAACGAGCUUAGCUACGUCGCAAGGCGAUGCAAAUCUCUUAAAAGCUAGCCCCAGUACGGAUUGUCUUCUGCAAC
rnacentral:rRNA from 1 species